UACAGAGGUCUCAACCGUUGUUCGGAUUCAUUGGGCGUAAAGGGUGCGUAGGCGGUCUGUCGCGUCGGCUGUGAAAUCCCGAGGCUCAACCUCGGGUCUGCAGUCGAUACGGGCAAACUAGAGUAUUGCAGGGGAGACUGGAAUUCCUGGUGUAGCGGUGAAAUGCGCAGAUAUCAGGAGGAACACCGGUGGCGAAGGCGGGUCUCUGGGCCGAUACUGACGCUGAGGAGCGAAAGCGUGGGGAGCAAACAGG
rnacentral:rRNA from 1 species